UACGUAGGGUGCAAGCGUUAAUCGGAAUUACUGGGCGUAAAGCGUGCGCAGGCGGUUUUGUAAGUCUGUCGUGAAAUCCCCGGGCUCAACCUGGGAAUUGCGAUGGAGACUGCAAGGCUAGAAUCUGGCAGAGGGGGGUAGAAUUCCACGUGUAGCAGUGAAAUGCGUAGAGAUGUGGAGGAACACCGAUGGCGAAGGCAGCCCCCUGGGUCAAGAUUGACGCUCAUGCACGAAAGCGUGGGGAGCAAA
rnacentral:rRNA from 1 species